rnacentral:rRNA from 1 species
GAUGUGUAGGAUAGGUGGGAGGCUUUGAAGCGUGGACGCCAGUCUGCGUGGAGCCGACCUUGAAAUACCACCCUUUAAUGUUUGAUGUUCUAACGUGGACCCGUGAUCCGGGUUGCGGACAGUGUCUGGUGGGUAGUUUGACUGGGGCGGUCUCCUCCUAAAGAGUAACGGAGGAGCACGAAGGUUGGCUAAUCCUGGUCGGACAUCAGGAGGUUAGUGCAAUGGCAUAAGCCAGCUUGACUGCGAGCGUGACGGCGCGAGCAGGUGCGAAAGCAGGUCAUAGUGAUCCGGUGGUUCUGAAUGGAAGGGCCAUCGCUCAACGGAUAAAAGGUACUCCGGGGAUAACAGGCUGAUACCGCCCAAGAGUUCAUAUCGACGGCGGUGUUUGGCACCUCGAUGUCGGCUCAUCACAUCCUGGGGCUGAAGUAGGUCCCAAGGGUAUGGCUGUUCGCCAUUUAAAGUGGUACGCGAGCUGGGUUUAGAACGUCGUGAGACAGUUCGGUCCCUAUCUGCCGUGGGCGCUGGAGAACUGAGGGGGGCUGCUCCUAGUACGAGAGGACCGGAGUGGACGCAUCACUGGUGUUCGGGUUGUCAUGCCAAUGGCACUGCCCGGUAGCUAAAUGCGGAAGAGAUAAGUGCUGAAAGCAUCUAAGCACGAAACUUGCCCCGAGAUGAGUUCUCCCUGAGACUUAGAGUCUCCUGAAGGAACGUUGAAGACGACGACGUUGAUAGGCCGGGUGUGUAAGCGCAGCGAUGCGUUGAGCUAACCGGUACUAAUGAACCGUGAGGCUUAACCUUACAACGCCG